rnacentral:rRNA from 1 species
AUGGAAAAUGACCUAGGAUUUUUCUUUAAAUGCAAGACAGAUGCGGAAGGCAGGACAGAAAACUUGUUUUGGGUGGAUGGUGCGGCACGAAAAGCAUACGCGGAGGCUUAUCAUGAUUGCAUGUCAUUUGAUGCAACUUACCUCACGAACAUGUACAAUAUGCCGUUUGCCCCCUUCAUUGGAAUCAACAGACAUGGGCAGUCAAUAAUGCUCGGGUGUGGAUUUGUCCGGCAGGAACUAGCGUCAAGUUAUGACUGGUUAUUUGAUGCUUUCCUAGAAGCAAUGGAUGGUUUGGCUCCGGACAACAUCAUCACGGACCAAGAUGUUGCUAUGGCACAAUCUAUCAAGAGGAAGUUCCUGGCAACGAUUCACCAUUUCUGCCGUUGGCAUAUAAUGAAGAAAGCACAAGAGAAGCUUGGCCCCGUGUUGGCUAGGAACCCGGAUUUGGUAAAAGACUUCAAUGAAUGCAUUGACUUCAGUUUCACCCCGGCUGAGUUUGAAAGGAAAUGGGCUGCACUUCAAUUGAAAUAUGAAGGUCUUAUGCAUGGUCACUUUGAGAAAUUGUAUGAGGAUCGGGCUACAUGGGUGCCGUGUUACUUCAAAUUCAGGUUCUUCCCUUUCCUUCAGUCAACGCAACGUAGCGAAGGGUUCAAUGCUGUGUUGAAGCGCUAUGUGAACCCACACAAAUCAAUUCUCAACUUCGUCAAGCAAUAUGAGAAAAUUCAGGUACACAUACUCGUGAGGGAGGGCGGGAACGACUACCGGACAGAACAUCUAGAGGCACAAAGAUGGUCGUGUUUCCCCAUUGAGAGGCAUGCCUACAAAGCAUACACUAGGGACAUCUAUGUGAAGUUUAGAACUGAGUUUUAG